rnacentral:tRNA from 1 species
GUUUUUAUAGUUGAGUACAACGGUAGUUUUUCAGGUUACAGGCCUAGGUUAAAACCCUAGUAGAAAUA